UACGAAGGGGGCUAGCGUUGCUCGGAAUCACUGGGCGUAAAGCGCACGUAGGCGGCUUUUUAAGUCAGGGGUGAAAUCCUGGAGCUCAACUCCAGAACUGCCUUUGAUACUGGGAAGCUCGAGUCCGGGAGAGGUGAGUGGAACUCCGAGUGUAGAGGUGAAAUUCGUAGAUAUUCGCAAGAACACCAGUGGCGAAGGCGGCUCACUGGCCCGGUGCUGACGCUGAGGUGCGAAAGCGUGGGGAGCAAACAGG
rnacentral:rRNA from 1 species